UAAUAAAUUAAAACUUUCAACAACGGAUCUCUUGGUUCUGGCAUCGAUGAAGAACGCAGCGAAAUGCGAUAAGUAAUGUGAAUUGCAGAAUUCAGUGAAUCAUCGAAUCUUUGAACGCACAUUGCGCCCCCUGGUAUUCCGGGGGGCAUGCCUGUUCGA
rnacentral:rRNA from 1 species